rnacentral:sRNA from 1 species
GCCGGGCGCGGUGGCGCACGCCUGUAAUCCCAGCAGCUCAGGAAGCUGAGGCAGGAGGAUCGUGAGUUCAAAACCAACCUCAGCAAAAGCAAGGUGCUAAGCAACUCAGUGACACCCUGUCUCUA